rnacentral:tRNA from 1 species
GGUGACGUGUCCGAGCGGCCGAAGGAGCACGCUUGGAAAGCGUGUGUUGUGAAAGCAACCGCGGGUUCGAAUCCCGCCGUCACCG